rnacentral:lncRNA from 1 species
CUAGCGCCACCUGGGAAGCCCAUAUAAGCCCUUAAAGAAAACAUAAUUAGGCAGAUGACUUUGCGAAACAUCAACCGACUUAGCCCACAAGCCAAUAGGAAUUAUUGCUUCAUCAUAUGCCUUUCUAGACAGGUCUUGUUCCCCUCAGUUAGCAGGAAAAUUCAGGACUGACUCCCUAAAGAAGCAGCACAGGUUUAUGAUCAGCCCAAAGGUGUGAUCAGAAGAGUUAACAAGGCUUUCUUGCCUUCCGCAGGUCAUUUGUUCUGAGCUGUGGUCAUCAUUUGCUUCCAGCACAGGAGUGUUAAGCUAAGGGGGACUGUUUGGCUGGCUGUCAACAGGAGGUAGGGCUUUAUUAUUAUUAUUAUUUUCAGAGUAAACAGAGCAGUGUAGGGCUUCACUGAAGACCACUCAGUAAAGGAGACCAUGCCUUAUCUGAGCACAUUUCCAGGAAGCAGCAGAUGUACUUCAGUGGAAAUUUACUUCUGAAGGCUUUCUUGAGGGGAAGAGGAGAGAGAAAUGCCUCCUGUCUUGAAAAUGUUGGCUGUCCGUGUGUUUUAUGUGUCAGGUCACACCUACAGUUUCAUGGGACAGAUUUCUGCUCCUAUGAAGCUGGAAAAUUGACCUAAUCCAGCCUGUUUCUUCUGCCAGAGUCCAGAGAGAAGGUCAUGCAGUUAGUUAUCAGGGGCUUGGGACUAGCACUUGGCUUCUCUACUACCUAUCAGGUGCUCUUCACCAUACUAUACUGUUUCUUCUCUAUGGUUGUAUUUCAUCUCCAGUGAUUUUNNNNNNCCUUUACUUACUUUGCACACAGGUGUUGUAAACUCUUAUUAGAAGUUAGCAGCAAGAGUGACAUUCUAUGUUAUUACAGCUAUUUGCAUUUUACUGAGCUAUGUUAUGGCUUUCUGUCUUUACCAUAGCAUG